rfam:Astyanax mexicanus chromosome 18, whole genome shotgun sequence.
GCAGCAUACUUUUGUAAGUCGCUCUGGAUAGGAGCAUCUGCUAAAUGUCUGAAU